GACAGGGGGCGGGGCUACUUGAUUGACAGUCCGGUCUGGAAUGAUUGACAGGUCCUAUGGAGGAGGCAACAGAGACUCUGCUCUCCUCGUUUGGAUUAAUUCUGAUAUAAUAACUGUUGGUUUAUUUAUCGGUGCAUCAGCAGAACAUUUUCCACAGACAGUUUUCCUGCCCGUUGGCUUGUUUUAACCAGUUUUCUACCUUCGGCUGAUUCUACCAGCAGACACUGAAAGGACUCUGAUAGUUCGAGUGAAAGUAGCAGUUCCUCCUUAAGGUCAGAGAUUGCAGCAUCUGAGGGCCUCUUCAAAAGAAGAUGUAGUUGAUGAAGGCGUUCUGGAGCAGGACCAGAAAGACCACGACCAAGCAGCCUUGAGAUCUUAGGCAGCGUCUCCCUCAGGUCCCUCUCUAUCUCCCUACACAUCCACCAACCACUGGAACACAUCUCCAAAGUUCUGCCGGGCCAGCUCAGCUUCCCCUCAGAAGAAGUGCCGCCACCUGCCAGAUGAAGGAGCCUUUUGAGAGGCAGCUGACAUUGUGAUUGGACUGUACUUUGGUCUGUUCCAAUCCAGCUUCAGCUCCAGAGACGGCAGGCGGGACGAGUCAACGGAGGCCGGGUGGACGAAGGCAUGCAGCUGAGUACAAUCCAGAAAACAACAGAGGAGGAGUGCAAACAGAGUAGCAUGACCAAAGAACUACAGACUCUUCACAACCUGCUCAAACUCUUGGUACAGGACCUCACCACACGGGUCAAGAAGGUUUCCAUCUCCUCAUUUCUACUCUGAAGCUCACCUUCUCCUGCUCAAACUGCUGACAAAUGUUUCUGCUGCUCUAAAGUCUGCUCUCCAGAACUUCCUAAAAACUCUCAAAGUGUCUUCUGCUGCAGGUUGCUUUGUAGAACUGUUCCAGAAAACCUCACUAAACCACAUGGAGGGGCCUCAAGAUAGUCGUCCAAAUGAAACCAUACAUAAACCAAACUAGCACAACCCAAACACUAAAGUCUCCUGCAGCCUACCAGAGAACCUCUGAGAACAGAGAAUCAGGACAGGAACUCUUACCUUCUGGACAACCAACGUUGGUUCUCAAACAAGAAUACAGAAUGUGUCUGACCAAAAACCUCUAAAGACUCACUACAGCCAAGAUAAAGACACAACUCAGCUGCAUCAAAUCCACUAAUCACUGCACACAUUAGCACCAUGUGCUAACUGUGGCUAAAGAACCACAUUUACCAAGACAACUAUCUGGUACAAAGCCCUAAAACACACC